AACGAACGCUGGCGGCAUGCCUAACACAUGCAAGUCGAACGAGAUCUUCGGAUCUGGUGGCGCACGGGUGCGUAACGCGUGGGAAUCUGCCCUUCGGUUGGGAAUAACUGAGAGAAAUUUCAGCUAAUACCUUAUAAUGUCUUCGGACCAAAGAUUUAUCGCCGAGGGAUGAGCCCGCGUAGGAUUAGCUAGUUGGUGGGGUAAUGGCCUACCAAGGCGACGAUCCUUAGCUGGUCUGAGAGGAUGAUCAGCCACACUGGGACUGAGACACGGCCCAGACUCCUACGAGAGGCAGCAGUGGGGAAUAUUGGACAAUGGGCGAAAGCCUGAUCCAGCAAUGCCGCGUGAGUGAUGAAGGCCUUAGGGUUGUAAAGCUCUUUUACCAGGGAUGAUAAUGACAGUACCUGGGGAAUAAGCUCCGGCUAACUCCGUGCCAGCCGCCGCGGUAA
rnacentral:rRNA from 1 species